UACGUAGGGGGCAAGCGUUGUCCGGAAUCAUUGGGCGUAAAGAGCGCGUAGGCGGCCCGAUAAGUCCGCUGUGAAAGUCAAGGGCUCAACCCUUGAAUGCCGGUGGAUACUGUCGGGCUAGAGUCCGGAAGAGGCGAGUGGAAUUCCUGGUGUAGCGGUGAAAUGCGCAGAUAUCAGGAGGAACACCAAUGGCGAAGGCGGGUCUCUGGGCCGUAACUGACGCUGAGGAGCGAAAGCGUGGGGAGCGAACAGG
rnacentral:rRNA from 1 species